GCCUGAGAAAUGGCUACCACUUCCAAGGAAGGCAGCAGGCGCGCAAAUUACCCAAUCCCGACACGGGGAGGUAGUGACAGUAAAUACUGAUGCUGGGGGAUUUCCCCUGGCAAUCGGAAUGAGAUAAAUGUAAAGAUCUAAACGAGUAACCAGUGGAGGGCAAGUCUGGUGCCAGCAGCCGCGGUAAUUCCAGCUCCACUAGCGUAUGCUAAAGUUGCUGCAGUUAAAAAGCUCGUAGUUGAACCUUGGGCGGAGGGUGUGUGGUGCGCGUUGUGCGCUACUGCAUGCUCCCGCCUCUCUGGGACGAUGCACCUCACGGUGCUUCACUCCCGUGUUACUGUGAAGAAAUUAGAGUGUUUAAAGCAGGCAGUCGCUUGAAUACAUCAGCAUGGAAUAACAGGAUAGGACUCGGUCGAUCUUGUUGGUUUGGGGAUGCGAGUAAUGAUUGAUAGGAACAGUUGGGGGCAUUAGUAUUUAGCAGUCAGAGGUGAAAUUCUUGGAUUUGCUAAAGACUAACUAGUGCGAAAGCAUUUGCCAAGGAUGUUUUCAUUAAUCAAGAACGAAAGUUAGGGGAUCGAAGACGAUCAGAUACCGUCGUAGUCUUAACUAUAAACGUUGCCGACUCUGGAUCCGGGUGCAACCGCAUGGUUCGCCUGGGGACAGUGUGAGAAAUCAAAGUUUUUGGGUUCUGGGGGGAGUAUGGUCGCAAGGCUGAAACUUAAAGGAAUUGACGGAAGGGCACCACCAGGAGUGGAGCCUGCGGCUUAAUUUGACUCAACACGGGAAAACUCACCAGGUCCGGACAUGGUAAGGAUUGACAGAUUGAGAGCUCUUUCAUGAUUCUGUGGGUGGUGGUGCAUGGCCGUUCUUAGUUGGUGGAGUGAUUUGUCUGGUUAAUUCCGAUAACGAACGAGACCUCUGUGGGUGACUAGGGGCGUGUACGUGAGUAUGCGGCUCCUUCUCACUCAGACUGGCUGUGUUUAGCAGCCGGAAGUGGGAGGCAAUAACAGGUCUGUGAUGCCCAAUCACUAGU
rnacentral:rRNA from 1 species